UGGCCUCUGUAUGCACGGUUUUAGAUGCUC
rnacentral:piRNA from 1 species